rnacentral:rRNA from 1 species
UCGGGAAUCUUCCGCAAUGGGCGAAAGCCUGACGGAGCAACGCCGCGUGAGUGAUGAAGGUCUUCGGAUCGUAAAACUCUGUUAUUAGGGAAGAACAAAUGUGUAAGUAACUAUGCACGUCUUGACGGUACCUAAUCAGAAAGCCACGGCUAACUACGUGCCAGCAGCCGCGGUAAUACGUAGGUGGCAAGCGUUAUCCGGAAUUAUUGGGCGUAAAGCGCGCGUAGGCGGUUUUUUAAGUCUGAUGUGAAAGCCCACGGCUCAACCGUGGAGGGUCAUUGGAAACUGGAAAACUUGAGUGCAGAAGAGGAAAGUGGAAUUCCAUGUGUAGCGGUGAAAUGCGCAGAGAUAUGGAGGAACACCAGUGGCGAAGGCGACUUUCUGGUCUGUAACUGACGCUGAUGUGCGAAAGCGUGGGGAUCAAACA